AUUGAACGCUGGCGGCAGGCCUAACACAUGCAAGUCGAGCGGUAGAGAGGUGCUUGCAUCUCUUGAGAGCGGCGGACGGGUGAGUAAUGCCUAGGAAUCUGCCUAGUGGUGGGGGGAUAACGUUCGGAAACGGACGCUAAUACCGCAUACGUCCUACGGGAGAAAGCGGGGGAUCUUCGGACCUCGCGCCAUUAGAUGAGCCUAGGUCGGAUUAGCUAGUUGGUGAGGUAAUGGCUCACCAAGGCGACGAUCCGUAACUGGUCUGAGAGGAUGAUCAGUCACACUGGAACUGAGACACGGUCCAGACUCCUACGGGAGGCAGCAGUGGGGAAUAUUGGACAAUGGGCGAAAGCCUGAUCCAGCCAUGCCGCGUGUGUGAAGAAGGU
rnacentral:rRNA from 1 species